CUUUUUUUUGUUUUUUUUUUGGGGGGGUAGGAAUUUGGUAGAUAAAGGUUAAUCUUGGGCUGAAUGAUAGAGCUGUGAUUGACAAGAGAAAAGGUGUUGAGGGCAGGUCGAGCUGUCUUAUUUACAGCCCACUGCUUGCUAUAGAGCCUUUGUUAGGACUGGAAAGCUAAUUUAGUGCUGAUCAAAAGCACCACAGAGUUAAAGGACUGGUAAUGACUGCUAAUUUCAUUUCAGCCUCAUACAUCCCCAACUGCUGUAAUUAAAGACGUGCUAUUUAAAUACAGAUCUGUACUCGACCCCGCCAGGCUACGGGCUCCCCCCCUCUUCCGGCAGGCGGCGCCGGCAGCGGAUGGCGGCGCCCCCUGUCGGCCGCGCCGGGGCUUCCCCGCUGCCCGAGGGAAACUUCCGCGGGAGAGACGGCGCCCGCGGUGAGAGCCAGAGCGCGUGGAAGGGAUUAAAGGGGAAAAGCGAAAAGCCGGCGCCUGGAAGUGGUUCGGGGUCGCUGAGGUGGAGGAGGGGAGAGGGGGUGUUCAAGUAAGGGCGUGGAAGGAGGGACAGGCGAAGUGAGCGGAAAUACCAGCCCAGAAGCCACGGAAAGAGAAGCCUCCUCCAGCUUGUGCUGUUCGCUCUGGGGAUACACAAACGUUAAAAUAAUAAUGAUUAAAACAAAAGAAAUCUACCGGUUUGUUUCUAAGCAGAGGUCCCCGAAAGGUCGGGUCCUAUAGAAAUGUCGGUAUCUGCUACUCUCCACACCUCGAGCGGGGUUGCUGCUGCGGGACCGCGCAGCCAGCUUGGGCUCCGGUCGCCGGACAGCGGCGCACCCUCAAAAGACCAACUUCUUUAUUGGGAGCAUCAGGCACAAAAAUAAGGAUGAUUUUUUCCUCGUUCCCGACAUCAGUGUUCCGGUGCUGUCAGCAGAUGCCAGCCUUUAAGAGGCUUGGGCUUGUGUUUUCCUCCCCAAGGUGUCUUACAUAAGUCAGCAUUGACAGCGCUGAACGUCUCCUUUUCAUUAAGGAAAAAAAAUUUCUAAAAUGGUACGUGUUUAAACCCAAAUAAAGUCAUCUCACCUCCCCUCUGUCCCCCCAAAAAGGGGCAAAAUGAAAUAACACCUCUCCUCUCCUAAUUCUUCCGAAGGGAAGAAGCGUUCUUUAAAUGAAUGCCCGAAGAGGGUUUUUUCUUUCUUACUGUGGAUAUGACAGUUUUAAAAGAAACCUGAGUGAUAUAAAACGAUUACCCAAAAUAUGCGAAAAGCUGCAUUGUCACCAACUUUUUGGAUAAACUAGUUUCUUGUUUUAUAGGCACCUGCCUAGCUCUGGGUAGGACAUUUCCCGGCGGUAUUUGAGAGUUGCGGUAAUACCCAGCAUGGUUUAUGCAUCUUGCGUGCGAAUAGAAACACUAAAGCAAACCAAAUUAUUUCUGCUGAAUUGGGGUUAUUUUAUAUCUCAUGUUGACUGUCUGGAUGAAAGUCACAAAGCCGCAGUUUUUUCUUAUUAAAUUAAUCCUAUGGUUGUUGGUCUCACAAUAACUUUUUCACUUUAUUAAUUAUAUACGAAUACAUUUUUAUGAA
ensembl:lncRNA